GAAACAUCUACCUGGCUGUUAGGAUCCAAGCUUCUCCCAGUGCGAGGAUUUGUCAAGGCUGAGAGACUCUGGAUUAUCCAUAAACUUCCUCUAAAAUACACAGCUGCUUUUCUGUCUCCCCAUCGCGAGGGGUCUUGGAGCAGAUAACAAGGAUGGCCUCCAGCCUCACCUGCACCGGCAUCAUCUGGGCCUUCCUCUCCUUCCUCUGCGCCGCCGCCUCCUGCGUGGGCUUCUUCAUGCCAUACUGGCUCUUGGGGUCUCAGCUGGAGAAGUCGGUUUCCUUCGGCACUUUCCGGAGGUGUUCCUACCCGGUGCGGGAUGAGAGCCGCCAGACGACCGUGAUGGUGGAGCAGUGUGGCCGCUACGCCUCCUUCCAGGCCAUCCCGAGCGCCGAGUGGAGGAUCUGCACGGUGGUGACAGGCCUGGGCUGCGGGCUGCUCCUCUUGGUGGCCCUGACGGCGCUCAUGGGCUGCUGUGUGUCCGAGCUCAUCUCCAGGACCGUGGGCAGGGUGGCAGGAGGCAUCCAGUUCCUGGGGGGUAAGUGCUCUGGUUAUGCUGUCUGUAACCUCUUGAGGGCACAGUUAUAUAGAUGGAUACAGUCUUCACUGAUAACA